rnacentral:rRNA from 1 species
CAAUAGCGUAUAUUUAAGUUGCUGCAGUUAAAAAGCUCGUAGUUGGAUUUCGGGUGGGAAUGGCCGGUCCGCCGUUUCGGUGUGCACUUGCGACGCCCACCUUGCUGCCGGGGACGUGCUCUUGAGUUCACGCUCGGGACACGGAGUCGGCGAGGUUACUUUGAGUAAAUUAGAGUGUUCAAAGCAGGCCUACGCUCUGAAUACAUUAGCAUGGAAUAACACGAUAGGACUCUGGCCUAUCUUGUUGGUCUGUAGGACCGGAGUAAUGAUUAAGAGGGACAGUCGGGGGCAUUCGUAUUUCAUUGUCAGAGGUGAAAUUCUUGGAUUUAUGAAAGACGAACUACUGCGAAAGCAUUUGCCAAGGAUGUUUUCAUUAA